rnacentral:lncRNA from 1 species
GAACUUGUUCCCAUUGUGAGAUAGGUGUCCUGUGCUGCAAAAGGUUAUGUGAUGUCAGCUUGUACUGUAAUACCUGAAUAUCUCAAUCUAGAGUUUUGGUUUAUUUUCUCAGCAAUUCUAGGAAGCCCCAGGUAGACCUUUAGAAUUCAUCUAGUCUGUCCCUUGCCCCACCGCAGCAUCAGCCAGAUGGACGUUGCUCCUAAAGCACUACCAACAACUGUCCUAACAGCUGGGUGCCUUAUUUUAAACAGUUUAGGUUGAUGUGGGACACGAGCAAACAUGCUUAUGGGAAGAUUAGUACAGUGAUGCAAGGCAUAGUAUUGAUCACACCACAUAUAUUCCUGUGACUUUCUUCUCUUGCUCCCCUCUUUCUCCUCCUCCUCAUGAAUGUUAAGAGCAGUUACAACUUUUUGUGCAUUCCAAUAUAAAGGAAGUCUCCCUAUGGUAACUACUUGAUAAGCUAAAUACAAAAAGCACAGUAAAAAGUGAUGGGAGAGAUGGAAAAACAUUGACUGGUUUUACCUUUCAUGGUGAAGGAAGAGAACUAAAUAUGAGUAACUCAGGCAAGUAUAGAAGGAAUACAUGGAUAAAAGCCUACCAUUUUUUCAGGGCACAGAAUAUCAAGAACUUUUGUAAAAGAUUAAGUUACGCUCCCAGCACAGAUUAGUAUGAAUAGCCCCCCCAAAAGGUAUUAUGUGUUACUUUACCAAUCUUACUGCCUUACAGUAGUUGUGCCCUGUGCUCAAGAGCUGCUGCCAGCAUCAUUGUGAUCUGUUUGUACUUCCACCAGCACAGAACGUUAAACUGAAGCAGUAGAAGGAAAGCAAGAGAAGGCUAACAGAGGUUCUCCAUCAGGAGAUUCAGAACGCCAUGGAUUAAUUUUCAAGGAGGGUGGAUGAGUCUCAGUCAUUGCAGUAGAGACACUUGAGACUGGAUAGAGUUUCUGGAGGCAAUCCAGGCGGAUUAACCUCCUUGCUUCAUGGGGAAAAGACAAGGAGGCAAACACUUUGAAACCCUUCUGAAGUUAACCAUCAGUCACCAAGCAUCCAGAGCACCAGGGUGCACCCUGACAGGUCUUCCGGGCUCCACACCUCAGCUGUGCUUCUUGCAGAGGUAGUGCUUCACACUAUGGCUCUUUGUCCCCAUGAUGGAAAAAUCCAGAUGGAAAGAAGUGUAGUUCACAGGAAAAUGAUCGUGUAAGUGAAAUUAAUCUUUCAGAUACUGUAAUGUGAAACCCGAUCUUCCUUUUUGUUAAGAAGACCCAAUCUGUGUCUCUACAUUUUGGCCAAAAUCUGAUGCUAAGAGAACCCUGG